UACGUAGGGGGCAAGCGUUGUCCGGAGUCAUUGGGCGUAAAGAGCGUGUAGGCGGCCAGAAAAGUCCGCUGUGAAAACUCGAGGCUCAACUUCGAGCUGUCGGUGGAAACUUUCUGGCUAGAGUCCGGAAGAGGAGAAUGGAAUUCCUGGUGUAGCGGUGAAAUGCGCAGAUAUCAGGAAGAACACCCGUGGCGAAGGCGGUUCUCUGGGACGGUACUGACGCUGAGACGCGAAAGCGUGGGGAGCGAACAGG
rnacentral:rRNA from 1 species